UCACAUUUAUGAAUGGAUUUGAUACAAAAUUUAAUAUUUCUAUUCUGAAUUUAUUAUUUCUGGGUAUUAACUGCAAAUGCUUAGACGCGAUUUGACAAGUAAAGCCUUGCAAAGAAAAGGUAAGUUAGCUCUUUACUAUGCUCUUUUUGCCAGUGCUUCUGUGUUGUUGGGUGCAAUUGGAACAUAUUUUGAUGAUCAUGAAAAGAAGAAAUUAGGCUUACCAACUUACUCAGAAAGACUGGUUAACAAUGCAAGACGCAUGUCUGAUUAUUUUUCAAAAAAUUCUGUAUAUGUUGAUGAUUCUCAAAGAGCUAGAGAUGAGGAACUCUAUGAUGGAUCUCAAGAAAAGAAAUACACACACAAACUUUCAGUAUCUUACAAAGAUUCAUAGAAACACUUUUCAAUUAAUCUGUUACUGUUUUAAUAAAAUGACAAUACAAUUAUAUUAGCACUGAAAAACUCAAAUAAAAAUUAAAUUAGCAUUUGCAUGGAUA